rfam:Dipodomys ordii contig_58248, whole genome shotgun sequence.
GAAAAUGGAAAAAUUGUGCCUCCUCCCAGCAUGUUUAAAGGACAUUGGGAUUGAAAUUUAAUAUCUGGCAUCAUCGGUUUCCUUGGUGGUGGGCAUGGCAAACCUGAUAUUUCUAUUGCUAUAUAA